ensembl:lincRNA C230057A21Rik RIKEN cDNA C230057A21 gene
ACAGAGAACAGUCCAUCCGCGGAUGUUACUAAGGGUCAAGAGGAAAGAGGAAGUGGAUGGCCACAGCCUGAUGGUAAUGUUUGGAAGUUAGGUGUGGGUUUGUAUUUUUAACAAUUUUCAGAAUUGGAAUCGUGCUUUGUGUCAUUUUGCAUCUGUGAGGGUCACCUGGACUUUAUGGCAAUCUCCAAAGGUUUAAGACGGGGCAUCUCAAUGUUCAGAAGUCUCUCCCUCCAGGGUGUGGUCUGAGCAACAGUGAUAAAACCUAUGAAGCAUGUGCUACUAUCAGUUGUCUGUCCUGAUUUAUAUUUUUAGCUGAAAUUUUUUUAGCAAGAAUAAUGAUUUUAAAGUAUGCAAACUGCAUUUCCAUAUUUUAUCAUUUGUCUUUGCUUAAAAAAAAUUAUCCAGGUUAGUGCAAACAGCCCCACAUACUGACUAUUUAAAAGUAAAUAAUUCCUAAUUGGUAAAAUGCCAAAGUCUAUUUACUAAUGGCGUUAAAUAUUUCUAGGAAAUUUUGUUUUUAAGGGGUGAAUUAGCUAUUCAAUUCUCCAUGACCAAGGCAUUUAAAAAUUAUAAUUAAAGAACGCCCUGAUGUAGGAAGGUGUGGCUCAGUGGGUAGAGUGCCAUCCUGGCUUGAACAAGGCUCUGGAUUCAGGCAGAAUAAGACAGGAAGACCAGUGCGGGGUGGUGGUGGCAAACGCCUUCAAGCCUAGCACUCAGGAGGCAGAGGCAGACAGAUCUCUGAGGGUCUCAUGUAGGCCUAGGCUGGACUCAAUUCAGAAUGUUGUAGCUAAAGACAAACUUGGUUCUGAUUCUUCUGCAUCCACUUCCCCAGGCCAGCAAGGGCAAGCUACAAGCGAGGCUGGGUGGAGCGCAGGGGAGUCAUAAAAGACGGGGAAACACUAAGAAGCCAGCUACAUCCCACAGUCUUCUUUUAAUUUGAUUGCUGUUGGUGUUUGUGUGAGAGGCUUGACUCACCCUGCCAUGCUGCCUCAGCAUCCCAGUGCUGAGGUUAUAAGAGCCAUAUCUGGCUUGCUGGAUUAUUAAAACAGUCCCCGAUUACAGUUACUUGGUUCAAAAUGAGAUGAAAGUGGGCAAGUAAUCACAGGUCUAGUGUAAAACCGUGCAUGGUGGCACUGAACUAGAGUCACCUUUGGGUGGCACAGUGGAAACAGCUAGGAUGUCGCAAAAGUCUGACUGCACCUCUGCAGAGCAAAGCCGCCUGACUGCACCUCUGCAGAGCAAAGCUGAGCUAUGAGGGAGAACUGGGCUCUCUCUCCCUGCUAGUUCCCCAGUCUCACUUGGAGGCCUCUUGAGGUGGAGGUACAGGGGAUGAGGGAGCUCACCAGUAAGUUCUUCGAAACUGUACCCACGACAACACUAAAUGCUAAGUCCCAGAAUGAGCAGUGUGGGACCAACGUUCCAUGGUGCAAUGUCCCAGUUAAUCUCGAGCCAUCUUCUUUCCCUUGUGACAGAUGAAGAUAACGUCCAAAUCAUACACAGAAAUUCAACAGACACAACAUCUAUACAAUUCAGUGAGCAUCCAUACAGUUAGAAUGGGCACUGGAAUGGAAACUGUGAAAUUUCACACUACAUUUUAUACUUUAAGAACCGACUACUUUCUAUGCUCCUACCCACUAGUCAAACAAAAAAGAACACCAUGACAUAACUAGAACUAGAAAAAUGAUUGGCUUUAUAUCCUCUGACAUAAAUGGUGUCAAUUUCUUGCAGUCAGCUCUGCUUACCUUUGGUGUGUGUUGUUUUCACUUAUUUUCAAGUUUUUAAUUAGUAAAGUUUACAAAAUUAAAAAUAAAAUAAUUCAAACAAACAAGCCUACGAUGAGCAAAUCACUCCCUUGUCUUUGCAGCACAGUGCAAAGAGAAGUGCAGUCUCAGGUUGGCUGGGAUCCAGUAGAUGGAUCCUGUGACUCGCUGAUCUAGUUUCUGCCUUUAGAACAUUCCCCAAGUUUGUUCCUUGAAUGUCUUGACUGAAAACUUAAUUCCCUCCAUUUGGAAGACAGAGAUGUCCAGUUGAGCCAAGACCACUCUUGUCUCUGCACCGACCACAUCACUUCCUUCUCUGCCUUUGGCCUUCAAGGUACUCAAGACCAGGAGCACACAUUUCCUGUUCUGUUUUUCCAUGUCAUCGAGCAUGGGGAAGGCUGUCAGCAAACACAUGGGAAAUGUGAAAAAGUAGUGGGGAGGGGCAGAGGACAAGGGAGGAGACAGACUGACAAGGACCAGUGGAAACCACCUGCUUAGUUAGGGGUGACACACUUCCAUGCAGUGCAGACCAAGUCCUCAUGGUUUCCUAAACCGGGGUCCUCACUCCCCUGGUACCAAUUAGCAUUGCAACAGACACAGAAAGCAAGAUAACACUAACAAAGAUCCACCACUGGUAUUAAACACAAAAGGCUGAGUAGUCAGUUAGGUAGCUAGUUGGCAUUUACUGACUCCAUGCUAAACCCAAUGAGUGUUAAUAGUUUUAUAACCCAGAUUACAUUUGCUUUUGUUUUCUUCAAAAAUGACUUACUCACUUUAUGUAUGACUGGUGCCUUCAGCUGUCAGACAAGAGCAUGUGGUCCCCUGGAACUGGAGUUACGGAUGGCUGACUCACAGGUAAGUGCUGUGAAUUGAACUCAAGCCCCCUGCAGGAGCAACAAGGGCUCUUUAACUGCUGAAGCAUCUCUCCAGACACUCAUUUCAUUUUCUAAGUCUUUGCAAAUGAAGGUCUGCUCAUGUAAGUAGCUUCAGAUUCCAUUAUCGUCUUCAGGUUCACACGUUCACAUAUCUGGAAGAUCAGAGAAGUUUCCAAAAAUUUGCCGUCCACAGUGAGUAAGGAGAGCCUCUGGCCUUCAGCUCCACAAGUCCUUUCUUCUCCAAAGUACCAAGACCUUCAAAAUGCCCCACCAUGAGCCUUAGACACAACCUAUGUUCUUCAAGGUCACACAUCUUACUGUUGGGCUCCUAGACACUCAACGAUGCAGGAGGAGGCAUUGCCACCUCAGGGGCACUGAGGUACUCAUACAACAACUUCGUGGGAUUUCGAGAGAGAGUAUUAACUUGUUUUCCUUCUGAGAUCAAAAUCCCCCACCUCGAGAGCUGGCCUACCAUAUAGGUGGAAGGAGAAAUGAUUCAGUUUUGUUUUUCCCCAAAGCUGUCAACUAUUUGAAAUUUUUACUUACUCCAUAUACCUGUUGUGUAUUUAUGAGAUACCAUGUGAUAGUUCAUACUUUUAUGUACUUAUUCUGUUGUGUUUAAUAAAGGGUAAACAUAUCUAUCCCUUCAAAUUUAAAUAUAUUAAAAUAGUAACCUACUGUGCAACCAAGCACAUG